rnacentral:rRNA from 1 species
AAAGAUUAAGCCAUGCAUGUGCCAGUAUAAGCACUUAUACCGUGAAACUGCGAAUGGCUCAUUAAAUCAGUUAUCGUUUAUUUGAUAGUACCUUACUACAUGGAUAACCGUGGUAAUUCUAGAGCUAAUACAUGCUAAAAACCUCGACUUCGGAAGGGGUGUAUUUAUUAGAUAAAAAACCAAUGCCCUUCGGGGCUGCUUGGUGAUUCAUAAUAACUCAACGAAUCGCAUGGCCUUGCGCCGGCGAUGGUUCAUUCAAAUUUCUGCCCUAUCAACUUUCGAUGGUAGGAUAGUGGCCUACCAUGGUUUCAACGGGUAACGGGGAAU